GGCCAGACUCCUACGGGAGGCAGCAGUGGGGAAUAUUGGGCAAUGGGCGCAAGCCUGACCCAGCAACGCCGCGUGAAGGAAGAGGGCUUUCGGGUUGUAAACUUCUUUUGACAGGGAAGAGCAGAAGACGGUACCUGUCGAAUAAGCCACGGCUAACUACGUGCCAGCAGCCGCGGUAAUACGUAGGUGGCAAGCGUUGUCCGGAUUUACUGGGUGUAAAGGGCGUGUAGCCGGGCUGACAAGUCAGAUGUGAAAUCCAGGGGCUCAACCCCCGAACUGCAUUUGAAACUGUUGGUCUUGAGUAUCGGAGAGGCAGGCGGAAUUCCUAGUGUAGCGGUGAAAUGCGUAGAUAUUAGGAGGAACACCAGUGGCGAAGGCGGCCUGCUGGACGACAACUGACGGUGAGGCGCGAAAGCGUGGGGAGCAAACAGGAUUAGAUACCCGAGUACUA
rnacentral:rRNA from 1 species